UGGAGGUGGCAUGGGAAGUCAGCAAAACUCUGAACAGCAGAAAGCCCAGGAGGAAGCUAAGAGUGAAGCAGAGGAACAACGACAAAUGAUGCUUAGUCAGAUUCUCACAUCUGAAGCACGAGCAAGAGAUGAGGGUCUAGCUGUUUUGCUUUCAAGCUGUUUGGCUGAUGCACAUAGAGAGACUGAAGGUGUCAAAGUAAGGCAAUGUUAAAGGCAGGGUAUGAAUAGUGUGAAUUGGGCGUGAGUGAUUGAGGAUUGAGGCUGUUAACACAAUGGCUUUGGCUGGGGAUGGGGGAUAGCAUCGAAAUAAUGGUUAGGUUGGAAUUUUUUAUGUUUGUUGUCAUUUUAAAAAAUGAGGAUUACUAGUUCACUAGUAAACAACUAAACUUUCCACAGCCCCAUGCAGAUGUUAAUAUAUCAUCUCUUUCUAUAGAUAGACUGUUAAAAUCUUUGGGAAAUUGAGAAAAUAGUGGAAAAUCACCUCUCUUAUUCAGGUGGGAUGUGUGCCUAGGGUUGUCUGAGAGGUUAUAAUUGCAAUAUAUGUUGUCUAACCUACUGAUCCACAGCUUAGUUGCUCUAAACCACCACAUAGAUAACACUGAUUAGUUAGUGCAAAUGAGUUCCUAAUGCCAUAUGCCUGCACUUGUAAGUUAAAUAUAUCAUGUCACUAUUAUGGACCUCAUAACCUCCCUCAUUUAUUGCCUGGUGACUUGGGAUUUAAUUGGUUCUCAUCUGGGUUCAAGAGACAGUCCUAUGUGCUCAGAUCUUUUAGUGUUUUAUCCCCAUAUAGCAUUUAGUUCCAACAAGUUGGGUUGAAACCUAUUCUGAUUUUGUUAUAUCUCAGCCCUUGAUCUAAGAAGAAGUCCAUUUGUAACAUGUGCACUUUUGCUCUCAGGACGCCAAUUAGUUAAGUUAUUACCCAAAAAGAAUCAACUGAAACAAGUCUUGAGGUACUUAUAAAGCUAAACAACUGCAGUGUCUUACCAAGAAAUUAUUGAAGCUAGUGCAUUUAGUAUGUCAAAUUUUUUCCAGUCUCCGGAAGAUAAUUCCCAAUCUAGUUCCGAUGAGGUAUCCAAGGAAGCAAACUCCCUUGUUAUUGGUUAUAGCCUUCAACCAAGAACAAGGAAACCGUUAAACAAAAGAAGCCUGCCUAGAAGAAACAUUGAUUGCUCUCCCAAGCUAUUCUUGUUUCUUUUAGUUGUUUGAAAUGGCUCAUUCUCUUUUAAUCCGACUUUGAUGGUUGUAAUGGUCCAACUUGAUUGGGCUGUCUCGCUGAUUCCAUGGCUAUGGUUGGCUCAGUUUUUGGGUCCACUUUUGUGUCCAUGGGAGGUCAGGUUUAGUCCCACUCCUUGAGGCCUUUUGUCCAUGGUAGGUCACCGGAUGCGUUAUUAAUAAAACCUCCACCUUAUGUGUUUUGAUUUUAAAAAAAUAAAUAAAU